CCUACGGGAGGCAGCAGUAGGGAAUAUUGCUCAAUGGGGGAAACCCUGAAGCAGCAACGCCGCGUGGAGGAUGAAGGUUUUCGGAUUGUAAACUCCUUUUGUUAGAGAAGAUAAUGACGGUAUCUAACGAAUAAGCACCGGCUAACUCCGUGCCAGCAGCCGCGGUAAUACGGAGGGGGCAAGCGUUACUCGGAAUCACUGGGCGUAAAGAGCGCGUAGGCGGGAUAGCAAGUCAGAUGUGAAAUCCUAUGGCUUAACCAUAGAACUGCAUUUGAAACUGUUCUUCUAGAGUAUGGGAGAGGUAGGUGGAAUUCUUGGUGUAGGGGUAAAAUGCGUAGAGAUCAAGAGGAAUACUCAUUGCGAAGGCGACCUGCUAGAACAUAACUGACGCUGAUGCGCGAAAGCGUGGGGAGCAAACAGGAUUAGAUACCCUAGUAGUC
rnacentral:rRNA from 1 species